AGCGUAGACGGAUGGACAAGUCUGAUGUGAAAGGCUGGGGCUCAACCCCGGGACUGCAUUGGAAACUGCCCGUCUUGAGUGCCGGAGAGGUAAGCGGAAUUCCUAGUGUAGCGGUGAAAUGCGUAGAUAUUAGGAGGAACACCAGUGGCGAAAGCGGCUUACUGGACGGUAACUGACGUUGAGGCUCGAAAGCGUGGGGAGCAAACA
rnacentral:rRNA from 1 species